UACGUAGGGUGCAAGCGUUUGUCCGGAAUUAUUGGGCGUAAAGAGCUCGUAGGCGGUCUGUCGCGUCUGCUGUGAAAACUCAGGGCUUAACCCUGAGCUUGCAGUGGGUACGGGCAGACUAGAGUGCGGUAGGGGAGACUGGAAUUCCUGGUGUAGCGGUGAAAUGCGCAGAUAUCGGGAGGAACACCGGUGGCGAAGGCGGGUCUCUGGGCCGAUACUGACGCUGAGGAGCGAAAGCGUGGGGAGCGAACAGG
rnacentral:rRNA from 1 species